rnacentral:rRNA from 1 species
UACGAAGGGUGCAAACGUUGCUCGGAAUUAUUUGGCGUAAAGCGCACGUAGGCGGCUCUGCAAGUCGGAUGUGAAAUCCCUCGGCUCAACCAAGGAAGUGCAUCCGAAACUGCGGAGCUUGAGUACUUAAGAGGAUCGCGGAAUUCCCGGUGUAGAGGUGAAAUUCGUAGAUAUCGGGAGGAACACCAGUGGCGAAGGCGGCGAUCUGGGAAGAUACUGACGCUGAGGUGCGAAAGCGUGGGGAGCAAACAGG